rnacentral:tRNA from 1 species
GGGGUCAUAGCUCAAUGGUAGAGCAUCUGCUUUGCAAGCAGAAGGUUUCGGGUUCGAGUCCCUAUGGCUCCA